UACGGAGUUGAGUAAAAGGUAACUCAUUAAAAUAUGUUUUUAAUAAUGUAGGUUCAAUCCCUACCUUCGUGC
rnacentral:tRNA from 1 species